UACGUAGGGGGCUAGCGUUGUCCGGAAUCAUUGGGCGUAAAGAGCGUGUAGGCGGUCCGGUAAGUCCGCUGUGAAAGUCGGGGGCUCAACCCUCGAAUGCCGGUGGAUACUGUCGGGCUAGAGUGCGGAAGAGGCGAGUGGAAUUCCUGGUGUAGCGGUGAAAUGCGCAGAUAUCAGGAGGAAUACCAAUGGCGAAGGCAGCACUCUGGGACGUGACUGACGCUGAGACGCGAAAGCGUGGGGAGCAAACAGG
rnacentral:rRNA from 1 species